UUUCUUAAGAUUGGGAAAGGCAGUUAUAGAAGUCUUGUAGAUGGCAUAAGUCGUUCUUAUUACAGUAAACUGGUAUAAUUGCUGAAGCUUUUCCAUCCACUGUUUUAUUACAUACAGCACUGUAUUACAUGCGAAUACUAUAAUUUCAAAAGUAGUUAUGAAGUUAGAUAUGAAAUGUAUAUGACGUAGAAUCUUAUUUGCGUCUUACAGGAUCUGGACACUUCAGAUUGAAGCUGAGUCCCAAGAAAAGAAUUAAGGGGUGAAGUUUUUUUUUGCUUUUUGGAGCCUGCAGUUUCGGCCAAAGAUUUGUUCUUCAAAUAAUGUGGUCUAUCUUAUGUCUGGUGAAGAAACAGCUAAUAAGCCUGUCCUAGACUGAGUGCAUUGAAUGAGUCAUUUAGUAAGCAAAAACAGGCAAGUAAAUCUGAUAUGUUGUCAUAGGUAGGGGUUAACCACCAGCUGUAUUUGCCAGAAGUAAAAAUGCUGCAGCCCCACCCUCAGCCCACUCCACACAUAACUGUUCUGACAAAACAAACAGCAAUAUGCUUUGUAA